rnacentral:rRNA from 1 species
GACGAACGCUGGCGGCGUGCUUAACACAUGCAAGUCGAACGGCAACGCCCUGCUUUUGUGGGGUGCUCGAGUGGCGAACGGGUGAGUAACACGUGAGUAACCUGCCCUUGACUUUGGGAUAACUUCAGGAAACUGGGGCUAAUACCGGAUAGGAGAUCCUGCUGCAUGGUGGGGGUUGGAAAGUUUGGGCGGUUGGGGUUGGACUCGCGGCUUAUCAGCUUGUUGGUGGGGUAGUGGCUUACCAAGGGUUUGACGGGUAGUCGGCAUGAGGGGGUGACCGGCCACAUUGGGACUGCGGUACGGCCCAGUCUCCUAUGGGAGGCAGCAGUGGGGAAUAUUGUACAAUGGGCGGAAGUCUGAUGCAGCAACGCCGCGUGCGUGAUGACGGCCUUCGGGUUGUAAACCGCUUUCGCCUGUGACGAAGCGUUAGUGACGGUAAUGGGUAAAGAAGCACCGGCUAACUACGUG